UUUAUACAGACAGGUAGCAACAACAAUAGACAGCCGGGCUCCGUUGCUGAAGCGUCGAAGUUCUACACCUACAAGAAGUACACUUACUUCAAGUAUUGCAGACAAUUAAGACAAUGGAUGCAGAGCUGAGGGACUUCUUACGUAAGCGGAAAAUUCCUGAGGAGUUUAUCCAACAGCUCGAAAAUGAAAAGAUUGAUGCAUCUGUAAUUCCUGUAAUGACUGAUGGGGAUUUGGCAAAGUACAUCCCUAAAUGUGGAGAUAGAUUAGCCACUGUGGCCUUCUGCCGACAAGCCAGCGCAUCGAUGGAGACAAGGAGCAGGAAAGACUCUAUACUCAAAAGGCUGCGACAUAGAUUGGUGUCUAGUGAGGUGACAGUACCUGCCAGAAAAAAGCAAUGGGUCGGAAAUACAAGUGCAAAAAAAAACG